AGUCUAACGAGGAUGUUAGAUGCAGCCAUAAAGUCUACGAAGAAUUAUUGCGCAGUUGGAUCUUAAGUUGUGUUUUGCCAUUUCCCGGAGGCGAGGUAUGUUAGAGAUACGGGUAGCAUUGGUCCCCGGACCUUUGAAUUUUCAGCGAACGUUGAUGCUUGCCUUGUAGUAUAGGUGGUGUCAAAUUUAGAGUUUCCUUAGAUUUGUGAACCUUGGAGUGAGAGACUAGUACGUCUUGCCUAUGGGGUAUGAAUUGGGUAGUUAAGUUGACCGUUCUUUCGAAUCAUUUACAUUGGUCGUGGUGAUUCAAUUCGUAUUAGUUUCGUUUUCUUCUUAUUCCAACUGUCCUGUCCGAGAACGUUGUGCUCUUUUGAAUCUGGUGGCUAGAGUUUCCUUAGUGAGUUAGUCGUUGAGGUAGAAGUUUAGUUUCGUGGCGAAGUGGUUGUCUUGAAAUCCCCGUGUUGGAUUUGAUUGACAAAAGCGUUAGUGGGGGGAUACCUCUUGGAUUCGUAUUUUUUUUUUUGGAUUCUUGAAGUAUCGAAAGUGAAGUUGGCUAAGUUCUUAGUGUCGAAGAGAAGGGCGAGAUCCUUAUCCGAUGUUGAUGACGUGGUUGUCAAUAUCGAGUUCGAAUAGUGAUGUGGUUGUUCCUUGUAGUUUGGCUUAUGGAAAUUUCGGGGACGAAAUUUCUAUAAGGUGGGGAGGAUGUGAUAUCCCGUCCCCAAAAUUAGUAUUUUAUUUUAUUCUUGACGUAUUUCAAAGAUUUAAUUGAAACUAGUUCGUUAAUUCUCCAAUUUUGAGAAAAACGAAGUGAGGGGUACUUUAGCCAUUUCCAAUUUUCUCGACCUUUUCAGUCAACUCUUGAGUUCGUUAGGUAGAGUUUGAUUCCAUGAGGGCAUAUGUGUAAACGGAUCUUAAUUCCGAGUCACAACGAAGAAGUUAGAGUCGUUUGAAGUUGGUGGCAUUUUGGUAAUUUUACCAACAUGCUAUAAUUGGAAAGAAACCUCCAGAAAAUCGGGAAUGUUUCUAAAAAAAUGAG
rnacentral:lncRNA from 1 species